rnacentral:rRNA from 1 species
CCUUAUUCUAAGGCGCUUGAGAGAACUCGGGAGAAGGAACUCGGCAAAUUGGUACCGUAACUUCGGGAUAAGGUACGCCCUUGUAGCUUGACUGGCCUGCGCCAGGAGGGUGAGAGGGUUGCAAUAAACUGGUGGCUGCGACUGUUUAAUAAAAACACAGCACUCUGCAAACACGAAAGUGGACGUAUAGGGUGUGACGCCUGCCCGGUGCCGGAAGAUUAAAUGAUGGGGUGCAAGCUCUUGAUUGAAGUCCCGGUAAACGGCGGCCGUAACAAUAACGGUCCUAAGGUAGCGAAAUUCCUUGUCGGGUAAGUUCCGACCUGCACGAAUGGCGUAACGAUGGCCACACUGUCUCCUCCCGAGACUCAGCGAAGUUGAAGUGUUUGUGAUGAUGCAAUCUCCCCGCGGCUAGACGGAAAGACCCCAUGAACCUUUACUGUAGCUUUGCAUUGGACUUUGAACCGAUCUGUGUAGGAUAGGUGGGAGGCUAUGAAACCGGAACGCUAGUUUCGGUGGAGCCGUCCUUGAAAUACCACCCUGGUUUGUUUGAGGUUCUAACCUUGGUCCGUUAUCCGGACUGGGGACAGUGCAUGGUAGGCAGUUUGACUGGGGCGGUCUCCUCCCAAAGUGUAACGGAGGAGUACGAAGGUACGCUAGGUACGGUCGGAAAUCGUGCUGAUAGUGCAAUGGCAUAAGCGUGCUUAACUGCGAGACCGACAAGUCGAGCAGGUGCGAAAGCAGGUCAUAGUGAUCCGGUGGUUCUGUAUGGAAGGGCCAUCGCUCAACGGAUAAAAGGUACUCUGGGGAUAACAGGCUGAUACCGCCCAAGAGUUCAUAUCGACGGCGGUGUUUGGCACCUCGAUGUCGGCUCAUCUCAUCCUGGGGCUGUAGCCGGUCCCAAGGGUAUGGCUGUUCGCCAUUUAAAGAGGUACGUGAGCUGGGUUUAAAACGUCGUGAGACAGUUUGGUCCCUAUCUGCCGUGGGCGUUGGAUAUUUGAAGGGGGCUGCUCCUAGUACGAGAGGACCGGAGUGGACGAACCUCUGGUGUACCGGUUGUCACGCCAGCGGCAUCGCCGGGUAGCUAUGUUCGGAAGAGAUAACCGCUGAAAGCAUCUAAGCGGGAAACUCGCCUUAAGAUGAGAUAUCCCCGGGGACUUGAUCCCCUUGAAGGGUCGUUCUAGACCAGGACGUUGAUAGGUCAGGUGUGGAAGU